GCGCGUCGGAGGCCCAGGAGGCAGCGCGCGGUCGGUUGCUGGGCCGCGACCUGAAGGCCCAGCAGCGCGCGCGAAUAAAUGGAAAAAGAAAAGGGCCGAAGGCCCAGUGGAGCCGGCCGGUGUCGCGGAGAAAAGGAAGAAAAAGAGAGUAGGCCGUUGGGCCGGAGCUGGGCCGCAGAAGAAGAAAGGAAAAGGAAAUUGGCCCGCGGGGCCCGUCGGGAGGAGGAAUAGGGCCGGCGGGUAUAGGUGAAUAGGAAGGUGGGGUCCGCGCCGUGGGGCCCAGCGGUUCGUGAGAGAGGUUAGAGAGUGGGUGAGUAAGAAAAGUUUUCCGGGCGAUUUUCGGGAAAAAUUAGAUUUCCUUUAGUAAUUUAAUUCGUUUAAAUUCAUUUUACACCAUUUUAAUCACAGAAAAUUGUAGGAGUGUCCAAAAUUAGUGAAACCAAUUUUGUUAGGCUUGUUUUAUUUUCCUUUAUGCAUUAAAAUUUUUACACCCUAGGAAAAUAAUAAAAAUUCAGGUAUUUAUU
rnacentral:lncRNA from 1 species